AUUGAACGCUGGCGGCAGGCCUAACACAUGCAAGUCGAACGAGUGGCGGACGGGUGAGUAAUGUCUGGGAAACUGCCCGAUGGAGGGGGAUAACUACUGGAAACGGUAGCUAAUACCGCAUCACAUCGGAUGUGCCCAGAUGGGAUUAGAUAGUAGGUGGGGUAACGGCUCAUCUAGGCGACGAUCCCUAGCUGGUCUGAGAGGAUGACCAGCCACACUGGAACUGAGCCACGGUCCAGACUCCUACGGGAGGCAGCAGUGGGGAAGAUUGCACAAUGGGCGCAAGCCUGAUGCAGCCAUGCCGCGUGUAUGAAGAAGGCCGUCGGGUUGUAAAGUACUUGCAGCGAGGAGGCGUUACUCGCAGAAGAAGCACCGGCUAACUCCGUGCCAGCAGCCGCGGUAAUUC
rnacentral:rRNA from 1 species